GCCUCCCAAAGUGCUGGGAUUACAGGCAUGAGCCACCUCACCCAGCCAAAAAAGAACUUUAAAGAAUACAGAGAUAGCAGAUGUAGGAAGCAGCCACCCACCCACUCCCUCAAGCUGAAUUUCAGAACUCAUUAGCGAGCAUACAGUCCUGGCCCUCCGGGUGGGGAAGCUCAUGGUAGGUGCAAAUCCAUCUGAGAGAGUGCCAAGGAAGCCAUCCAUGUUUGUCACACCAGUGGCAAUCUUCUGGGAAGUCAUCCAAGGUGGUGAGGGGUAAGCCAUACAUAGGAGGUUGCCACAGUAGUGGCAUUCCACUGUAAAGCUGUGAGCUGCUGGAGCAGGGCACUGAGGGUGUCUCCCUAGUGGAGCAAACCAGAGCCAGGAAAAGAAAUCCUUCCAGCAUCCUGCCAGUUCCCUUACAAAACAUCAUGCUGCUUCCCCAAUACUGAGGCCAGACUUCCCUGAGGAGGCUUUCUAGUGUGGCUUAGUAGGAAGGACCAGGCUCAAUUCCUAGCUUUGUGUGAGCUCCAAGUACUGUUUUCUCUAAACCUUUUCCCCAGCCUUGUGUAUAAAAGGAGAAAUCGUCAUAUGGUCCAGUGUCGUCAUCACAGAGCAGGCAAUGACAGGUGGAUUGGGAGCUGAGGCAAGAAGUUGAUAAUAGUCACAGUCCACCCCUUUGGCUACUCAGCUUCCACAUUUGCCCAUCUACACACUUUGACGCUUCUGAACAACAGUGGAACAGCUCUACAUUUCCACCUAACAGGAUACAGCUAUACUUUAUUACAAGUCACGUUUGCUCCUUUCCCCAACACGAGAAGCCCAGUACCAGCAGUCAUUGUAUCCAUUGUUGGCUAUAUGAAUUACUCAAGUUCUGUCACUUCCACCAAAUGCUCUGUUAUCAAAAGACUGAUUUGUGGCCAGUGCAGUGGCUCACACCUGUAAUCCCAACACUUUGGGAGGUCGAGAUAGAUUGGUCUGCAUGAUACAUUGGUUUCAUCCAAAAGUGGAAAGCUAAAGCACUGCAGCCCCACAUCCAGACCAGUCUGUCUUGGGCAGAUCACUGAAGGUCGGGAGUUUGAGACCAACCCGGCCAACAUGGUGAAACCCCAUCUCUACUAAAAAUACACAAAUUAGCUGGGCAUAGUGGCAGACACCUGUAAUCUCAGCUACUCGGGAGGCUGAGUCAGGAGAAUCACUUGAACCUGGUAGGCGGAGGUUGCAGUGAGCUGAGAUUGUGCCACUGCAUUCCAGUCUAGGCCAUAGAACAAGAUUCUGUCUCAAAAUA
rnacentral:lncRNA from 1 species